CACUACAGUAUGAACAUAGUACGAGCAGCCACUGGUGAUGUACAGUCCUAGACUAGAGUGAUAGGACAUGGCAAUUGUACAACCUAGCGAUGUUAUCACCAAUAGGAACAGCCGGACCUACUUUGCUAUGGUGUGUUUGUUCAUGUGUUACCCCCAUGUAUGUCUUGCUUAGAUGAGGGCGAAUCGUCAUACGGCGACCCAUUCGAACACAGUACCUUCAUCCAGGAAAUUUUACCUUGGUUGCGAAAACUACCAGCGACGACAUUUCGAAACAAGGCGCAAGAUGCCGGGUUCUUCACCGAUCUGCAGCAGAUACGUGCCUUGACGAGGACUGAGAGGCAACAUGGAACGCCCGGUCACAACGAAGAAUUGAUCGAAAUCGUGAGCAGCGAGGAACAGGCUGGCUUCAUCAAGCUGGUCAAAGUCAUCAAGCACUGGGGGAAAUAUCCCGACAAGGUCGACAAGAUGAACCAGCUUCUGCCGCGGCGGGCCCGUGUGUAAACGCUUGUCAGUUGCUGAAUCUGCUGUCAAAACAUCCCUUCACAAAACAUCCCUUCACCCUGUAUCUACUACCUAGUUGCCCGGCGGUCACAUUCUCCACAGCAACCCUGUCAAGAACAUCACGCAAUGUACUGGUCGCUCUUUAUCUCUGUCUCUCUGUGUCUCUGUCUCUCCGUCUCUCUCUCUGUCUCUCUCUCUCUGUCUCUCUCUCUCUCUCUCUCUCUCUCUCUCUCUCUCUCUCUCUCUCUCUCUCUCUCUCUCUCUCUCUCUCUCUCUAUCUAUCUAUUUCUCUCUCUCUCUCUCUCUCUCUCUCUCUCUCUCUCUCUCUCUCUCUCUGUCUCUCUCUUUCUCUCUGUGUGUCUCUCUGUGUCUCUCUCACACUCUCUUUUGCAUUGUGCGUUCUCCAUCUCACUGACCAGGGACUAUGCUUCUCACAAAAUUCAUUCUUUCUUAGUAGUAUCUGCAACAUUAAAGCAACGUUAUGUUUGUUCGUUACCCUACUAAAUAUGUGUAAAUGAAAAAUACUAAUAAUCGAGUAGGCUAAACAGUAGAGACAGCUAAUUGUAGAGGACCACACCAGGUUACUAUGCCCGUUACGGAAUGCCUACCUAUAGCCAUGGGGUUACGUGAAACUUUUCUUUUGCUAGCAUUUUAUGAAUGCAUAGAAUGGAAUAUUUUCACGAGGGUGUGGGGCUUAGAAUAUUUUACUGAUAUAAUUAUUUCGGUGAAAUUAGUUUUCGAAAUUUCAGUUGCUUGUAGAUUUUCAGUUACUAGGUCCUGUCUUUAUAUAUUUUAUUUCAUGGAGAAGGCGGAGAGACCGAACGUGCCGGAAUUGUUACCGAUUUUGCGGAAUUUUUUUAUUACAAAGCGUAUGAGUUCAGGCUUUCUGAUAAUGAUAUGAAUUUUUUUAUAUUCCA